rnacentral:rRNA from 1 species
GACGAACGCUGGCGGCGUGCUUAACACAUGCAAGUCGAACGGUAAGGCUCCAGCUUGCUGGGGUACACGAGUGGCGAACGGGUGAGUAACACUUGGGUGACCUGCCCUUCACUUCGGGAUAAGCCUAGGAAACUGGGUCUAAUACCGGAUAGGACCGCACCGAGCGGGUGGGGUGGAAAGUUUUUUCGGUGUGUGCUGGGCCCGAGGCCUUUCAGCUCGUGGGUGGGGUAAUGGCCUACCAAGGCGGCUACGGGCAGCCGCCCUGCGAGGGUGGACGGCCAACUUGGGCCUGAGGCGCCGCCCAGACUCCUACGGGAGGCAGAAGUGGAGAAUAUUGCACAAUGGGCGGAAGCCUGAUGCAGCGACGCCGCGUGGGGGAUGACGGCCUUCGGGUUGUAAACUCCUUUCACCAUCGACGAAGGGUUUCUGACGGUAGAUGGAGAAGAAGCACCGGCUAACUACGUG